GUGAAUCAUCGAAUUUUUGAACGCAAAUUGCACUCUCCGGUUUUCCGGGGAGUAUGCCGGUUUGAGGGUGAGCCUAUAAAAAAUCGCCAUCGUUGCUGUUUCAGGGUGACGUUCGUUGGAAAUUGGGUCAUUUUAAAUUUUUUGGGUUUAAGCGACUUAAAAUUUUCUUUUUGAUUCCAUGAACGUGUUUUUAAGUUUUAUUUCUUUAGACGUUUAAGGUAUCGAUUUUUAUUAGACGUGACCAUAAUAUCGGUUCUCGUCCAUAAUCUUUAAUUAAC
rnacentral:misc_RNA from 1 species